CAGUAGCCACGGUAAUGCGAAGGGUGCAAGCGUUAAUCGGAAUUACUGGGCGUAAAGCGUGCGUAGGCGGUGAGUUAAGUCUGCUGUGAAAUUCCUGGGCUCAACCUGGGGGCUGCAUUUGAUACUGGGUCGCUAGAGUACUUUAGGGAGGGGUAGAAUUCCACGUGUAGCGGUGAAAUGCGUAGAGAUGUGGAGGAAUACCGAAGGCGAAGGCAGCCCCUUGGGAAUGUACUGACGCUCAUGUGCGAAAGCGUGGGGAGCAAACAGGAUUAGAGACCCCCGUAGUCCCUGUCUCUUAUAC
rnacentral:rRNA from 1 species